UACGGGGGGGGCAAGCGUUGUUCGGAAUUACUGGGCGUAAAGGGCUCGUAGGUGGCUCGCUAAGUCAGACGUGAAAUCCCUCAGCUUAACUGGGGAACUGCGUCUGAGACUGGCAAGCUCGAGUGCAGGAGAGGAACGCGGAAUUCCAGGUGUAGCGGUGAAAUGCGUAGAUAUCUGGAGGAACACCGGUGGCGAAGGCGGCGUUCUGGACUGCAACUGACACUGAGGAACGAAAGCCAGGGGAGCAAACGGG
rnacentral:rRNA from 1 species